rnacentral:lncRNA from 1 species
GCAGUGGAGUUUGAGGAUCGUAAAGAUUUCAGUGGAAGGAAUGGAGUGGCCGAAGGAAUGGGACCAGAGGUAAAAGAUGAUGACGACAAUGAUGAUGGUGAUGAGGUGAGUAUCUUUGAAAAUGUUGUCAUUACUAUUUUUGAUAGAUCUAAUGAAUAUGGAAAGCUCGGUCAAAGAUGCUUGAGUAUGUGAUUGUUGUUGAGAUAAUAUUUGGUUGAGUGUAGGCACAAAGUGAGCUAGAUGAGGAUCAUUGCUAGUUGACUUGUAGGCACUAUGUUGUAUCACAAGCUAGUAAAUCUACUUUCUUAUUAGCCUUGUGUCAAUUAAAAGUCAUUUAGCUAGAGAACAUUUGAGGAGUGAGCUAUCUAUUCUACGACAGCAUGAACUAACAAAAAAAAAUGUAGAAACCAAGAACUUCUUAAUUAAUUAAAUACUUUAGAUAUUUUUUGAUUGUUGCCAUACAAGUUUAAUGAUGAUUGGUAUGCGCGGUGCUUCUCAAGUGUUCAGUUCAAAUUUUGUACUAUUACGUAAUUUGAGUUAAGAAGAUAGUCCUUUAUGCUUGAGUUUUAUGGGAUUUGUGGCUGAAAUCUUCCAGAAACUGCUAUUGUAUGUCACUGUGGUAUAAUUUUUAGUAUAGGUUUUGUUAGAUUUGCUUUAUUAGCUGCAGUUUAUAAUAGUACGAGAAAUCCAAUCGCUCACAAUUAUCUUGCCACCAUAUGAAGCAGGGAUCUGGACAUUUGUAGUUAACUUUUUAAUAAUUUGAUAUGUGAAGUGUUUAUCCUAUCUGCACUAUAAUAGCUUUUCCUAGACUAAGAUGAUUGGUCUUCCUUAAUUCCUUAAUUUACUAUCUGCACUAUAAUAGCUUUGUCUAUGUGGAAAGCCUACACUUUUUAGAAUUGAGGUUUCUGAUGCUUCAUAGUAUACUUACUAAACUGCUCGUGCAUGAGUUUUUUGAGGAACAUGCUUUCUUUUUCUUUCUUUCUUUUUUACUCGAUUUCUUUGUAUAAUAAUGAAAUACUUGUUUACUUUUUCUUUCUUUUUUACUCGAUUUCGGUCAAGCUUUAUUAGUUGAAAUGCAUCUCAAUGCAGGAAACAUGGAUAAAGAGGAACAGGGUGUUUACUGUUUUAUUAGCUUCAUUUUUGAUGAAAUAGACAAUAUAUAGCUGUAACUUGUAAACCCUCUCUUUCAGAAUUAGAAUUAUAGUAGGCUCUUACAGUUCUAUGACCCGAAAGAUGUAUAUUUACUCUUCUUUAUGUCCUGUAAUGCAAGAUACUGGUUUCAGUGUUGCUGCAAGUUACUUAAACGAUACUCCUGCUCUGAAGAAGGCUGAUAUUGGAAGUGCCGUUCCUUUUCAGAUCGUCGUUCGUCUGUCCGUCGGCAACUCACGCACACCGCACACGGUAAGCCCUCUCUUUCAGAAUUAGAAUUACAGUAGUCUUUUUCUUAUGUUUUUGGAAUUAGAAUUACAGAUUUGCUUGAAUUUGUUUCGAAUUUUACUCUGUUAUUGUAGUUGGGUACAAGGAAUAUAGCUUAGUUUCAUCUUCUUUGCUAAACUUAAUCAUGUGAAGCUUUUAUUAUUAAAUGAAAUAUAAAGUAUUUUCAUAGGACUAGCAGAUAGCUUGAAAUUUGAUAUUUUGGUACUUUGAUUUGGUAUCUAUUUUUUUAUAUUCAUAGCUCUGAUUUCAUGAAGCAUAGAUGGUGUGUAUGAUUUUUAGUUGUCAUUCUAGCUAGGCAUUGACAUUGAACAACGUGAUGAAAUCUUGAAACCAAAUUGCCAUGUUUUGCAGGUGAACUCGGGUUGGCUAUGUUUUGCAGGUGAACUCGCUCGUGUUGGUGGAGGGUAAUCUUCUUCUCAUUUUAACAAUAUAGAUAGAAUAUUGAGAUCUUGAAGAUUACUUAUGUGUUUUUUGUAAAACCUUUUACCAAAAUAUUGAAUCCAAACCAAUGUCUUGCUUUUGAGAAAAUCAUUCAUCAUAUUUAUAUAUCUAUCAAAUUUGAUUUAGAUUCUGCAUUCUAUUAUAUUACUAUGCAUCAAUAUUUGAUAUAACUCACAUGUUGCCGGAUUUUUUUAAUUCUCCAGCUCAUUAGUGUAAUUGAGUUUAUCAUCUUGGCGGAUCAAGUAGAUGGGAGUCGAUGAGCUAUGAGGACUACUACAAAAGAGAAGGCUGAAGCAGAGAACGUCGUUUCAAAUGUCUAGCAAGUUGCGCGCAUUUGUAAUAUUUUUUAAUUAAUCAUAUAGCUAACUAGAAUAUUUGUGUUGUUUUCAUUAUAUUUGGAUGAUAAUGUAUGAAUAUUUCAGAUGUUAUAUAAUAUAUGUUAUCGAUGGCAA